rnacentral:ncRNA from 17 species
AAUCGCCGCUGGUUUUAAGGUUCCCGCUCUUGGCGGGUGAAACUGGAAGUCGGUUAAAUGCCGACGCUGCCCCCGCAACGGUAGGUGAUUCGUCACGAGCCCGGAGACAGGCCUAAAACUGUAGUCAACAG